CAGAUACUUUCUCCGUAUCAAAAUUCUUGUUUUUUAUUUGUCUAGAUAUGAAUGUAUCUAAUCAUGUAUUAAUAUUUAGAUACAUUCAUUUUUAAACAAACCAAACAUAAGAAUUUUGGAACGGAGGGAGUACUAA
rfam:Hordeum vulgare subsp. vulgare, WGS project CAJW01000000 data, contig: morex_contig_82211